UACGGGGGGAGCAAGCGUUGUUCGGAUUUACUGGGCGUAAAGGGCGCGUAGGCGGCCAGCACAAGUCAGUUGUGAAAUCUCCGGGCUUAACUCGGAAAGGUCAACUGAUACUGUGCGGCUAGAGUGCAGAAGGGGCAACUGGAAUUCUCGGUGUAGCGGUGAAAUGCGUAGAUAUCGAGAGGAAUACCUGCGGCGAAGGCGGGUUGCUGGGCUGACACUGACGCUGAUGCGCGAAAGCCAGGGGAGCGAACGGG
rnacentral:rRNA from 1 species